GGGGGUGUAGCUCAGUGAUACAGCAUGUGCUUAGCAUGCAUAAGGUCCUAGGUUUGAUCCCAGCACCACAG
rnacentral:tRNA from 2 species